rnacentral:rRNA from 1 species
UUAGGGGGUUUCCGCCCCUUAGUGCUGCAGCUAACGCAUUAAGCACUCCGCCUGGGGAGUACGACCGCAAGGUUGAAACUCAAAGGAAUUGACGGGGGCCCGCACAAGCGGUGGAGCAUGUGGUUUAAUUCGAAGCAACGCGAAGAACCUUACCAGGUCUUGACAUCCUUUGACCACUCUGGAGACAGAGCUUUCCCUUCGGGGACAAAGUGACAGGUGGUGCAUGGUUGUCGUCAGCUCGUGUCGUGAGAUGUUGGGUUAAGUCCCGCAACGAGCGCAACCCUUGAUUUUAGUUGCCAGCAUUUAGUUGGGCACUCUAAAGUGACUGCCGGUGCAAGCCGGAGGAAGGUGGGGAUGACGUCAAAUCAUCAUGCCCCUUAUGACCUGGGCUACACACGUGCUACAAUGGAUAGUACAAAGGGUCGCGAAGCCGCGAGGUGGAGCUAAUCCCAUAAAACUAUUCUCAGUUCGGAUUGUAGGCUGCAACUCGCCUACAUGAAGCCGGAAUCG